GGGCGAAACCUGAUGCAGCACGCCGCGUGAGUGAAGAAGGUUUUCGGAUUGUAAAGCUCUGUCUUUGGGGACGAUAAUGACGGUACCCAAGGAGGAAGCCACGGCUAACUACGUGCCAGCAGCCGCGGUAAUACA
rnacentral:rRNA from 1 species